UUUCUCUAACGCAGUCUCAUUCCUAAUUCGGUUGUGCUUCAAUACAGACCUCAUACAAACAAAGAUAUCAACACGAAAACGUAAAAAAACAGCCAACAAAACGUAGAAAACACAUAUUAGUCUCUCAUCUUUGCAGUGGAACUCACAAUGGUUGUGGUAUAUCAUCGCUGAUUUUUCCACCAGACUUCAUCAGACUCAUCAGCUUUUACAUCUUCCUUGGACGAUCUCAAACAGAUCUCUAUAACGCCGAUCGUCCGUGGUUUCACUUAGCUGGGGAACUCAUCGCUGCUCGUCACGUAAUGCAUCUAUUUUCGUCUUAAGGGAAACGCUGGGCCUUCAAAAUAUGCGGCGUAUUUUGAAGGACGACCUUGGUCUCUGUCCUAAAAAAAAAACUAAUUUUCUGCCAUUUAUUUAAAACGUACAAAUAAAAAUAAAAUGUUUAAAUAAAAA